GGCUAGUCCAGUCCCGACCAACAGCCGGAAUUCACUCGCCUAAAGGUAAUGGCAAAACCUUUCUAAACUUUAAGGCUACUUCGCUUAGGAACCAGUCUUUUACGGGUAGACUCACACCUUAGAGUAUCAAGGGCACUCUUAAGAACCUCUAACUUUUACGGGUAAGUUAGUACCUUAGAGUAUCAAGGAACUCUUAAAAACCUCUCUAAGCUUUAAGGCUACUUCGCUUAGGAACCAGUCUUUUACGGGUAGACUCACACCUUAGAGUAUCAAGGGCACUCUUAAGAACCUCUAACUUUUACGGGUAAGUUAGUGUAGAGUGAAAGCUCUUGAGUUUGCUUGUAGUGUGAUGAGUGGAAAUGAGGGGAUUACCCUUCUAUUUAUAGCCUUGACCACUCAAUGUCCAUCCUUGGAUCUUCAAUGGAUGGCUCCUUGAUUUCUCACAUAAAUCCAAGCUUUGUCUUUGAUCUUAUCUUGAAUAGUGUUUUUCUUGGAUAGAGUUUUGUUGGAGAAUCUUAUCUUUGUAUAAAUUCAAACUUGAAUAGUGUUUUGUCCCCUUGGAAUAUUAUACCUUGAAUAAAGUGUCAAAAGAUAAUAAUAAUAAUAAUAUUCAAGGUGAAAAUG
rnacentral:lncRNA from 1 species